rnacentral:rRNA from 1 species
GACGAACGCUGGCGGCGUGCUUAACACAUGCAAGUCGAACGGAAAGGCCCUGAUUUUUUGGGGUGCUCGGGUGGCGAUCGGGUGAGUAACACGUGAGUAACCUGCUCUUGAUUUUGGGAUAACUUCAGGAAACUGGGGCUAAUACCGGACAGGAGCUGCCGUUGCAUUGAAGGGGGUGGAACGUUUCGGCUGUUGGGGAUGGACUAGCGGCUUACCAGCUUGUUGGUUGGGGAGGGGCUGACCAAGGCUUUGGCGGGUACGCCGCCUGAGAGGGUGACCGGCCACAAUGGGACUGAGAGACGGCGCAGAGUCCUACGGGAGGCAGCAGUGGCGAAUAUUGCCCAAUGGGCGCACGCCUGAUGAAGCAACGCCGCGUUCGGAAUGACGGUUUUCUGGUUGAGAACAGCAUCAGGUUGUGACGCCGCGUGACUGACGGUAAUGAGUAAAGAAGCACCGGCUAACUACGUG